UGACGACGCCGUUCUUAGUGCCUUUUUCGGGCUUGUUUUGCUUAUAUUCUUGAAGCAGCAGUACGACAACAACCUUGUUCUGCUAAUGCUUCGUCCGUUGAGGAGGAGAAGGGAGGUAGAAGGUCGAAGAAGGGAGAUAGAAGACCGUGCUGUGGUGAAUGGAAACCGGUAGAAACAGCCUCUAACAGAAAUGUGUUGGUGUGUUGUUGUGAGACUCUUGCUGUGUUGAAGGAAACACUGAUCAUCCCACUGCAGCAGCACUGGAGACAGUCUGAUGGAG